rnacentral:rRNA from 1 species
GAACGGAGAUUGCAGCAAUGUAAUCUUAGUGGCGGACGGGUGAGUAACGCGUGGGCAACCUACCUUUCACAGGGGGAUAACACAGGGAAACUUGUGCUAAUACCGUAUGAAGUCAUAGGAGGACAUCCUCUAAUGACCAAAGGAGCAAUCCGGUGAAAGAUGGGCCCGCGUCCGAUUAGCUAGUUGGUGGGGUAACGGCCUACCAAGGCGACGAUCGGUAGCCGAACUGAGAGGUUGAUCGGCCACAUUGGGACUGAGACACGGCCCAGACUCCUACGGGAGGCAGCAGUGGGGAAUAUUGCGCAAUGGGGGAAACCCUGACGCAGCAACGCCGCGUGAAGGAUGAAGGUUUUCGGAUUGUAAACUUCUUUGAUGAGGGACGAAUAAUGACGGUACCUCAAAAACAAGCCACGGCUAACUACGUG